rnacentral:lncRNA from 1 species
GAAACUCAUAAUCACAAGCUUACCUCAAAAGAUGAAGGGAGAAUACGAUGAAGAAGAAGAUGCCCGGUGUUUUACGCCGUUCGCCGGCAACCAGUUAGGUUUACGAUGGUGGCUAGUCCAGCGAAUAGGUUUCUAACUGGAAAUAAAUUUAAAUUUCUAAAAUAGUACUAUACCGAACAGCUCUUUACCGUCACGCGGUUAGUAACAUAUGUGACCGUAGUGUGGCCGUCACAUAAAGGGUAACAAAAGCAACUCGGGGUUACCAAGUUAGAAGUUACUGGCAUGCGUAAUGGCUGCUUUUGCAUUCACAUUAGGGGUCGCAUACACCCUAUUUUCUUGUAGUACAUGGUAAAUUCUAUUUGAAAACUAGGUGUUUAAAAACCAAUGAAUAUUUUUAUAAGAAAUCACCAAUAUUGUUGAAAGAAAAACCAAAGAAAAACCAAAUAAAAAUAAUAAAGCCAAUGAAUAGAUCAAGGCUCUUUGUGGUCUAAAACUAAUCAAACUAAGUUGUGGGCAAAGGCGAAUAUGUUUGUUUGGUCAAUAAUAAGCUCAACAAAUCACUAAUAAUCACCUAAUCACUAUUCCUUAUGCUAUGCAAUAUAAUGGCCUGGGUAAUGGCGCCAAGGCAGACAAUAACUAGCUAGCCAGUUAUGAUAGUUGAUUAACUUAACCUACUGGAAAUCUGAAGACCAAAACGAAGAAGCUUUGUCUAGAACUAGAAUAGGAACAUUCGUACCCAAAACUAAUAUACACAAUUAAGAAACUUGAUUAUAUGUAUAUUUCUGUUGGCCACACUUAAAGAGAAUUUCCAAAAGAUGCUAAGGUACACCAAAUCCCACUAUUUCAUACUCAUAAACACAAAAAACCAUGGUAAAAAUUAAUGACUAUAUCAAAUAAAAUCGGUGAUAGGACAUUGAGAUUAGGACAACUUGAUUUGUAUACCGUAAAAUAACUAUAUCUGCAUGGUGAACUAUAUUUCUGUUAGAACUCUGAAGUUUCCUAUUAAAUUUUUUUCUCUGUUAGGUAAACCACUUAACUGAAGUGCUUAAGCCAAUUUUGACAAUCAUAGACAUAAAAGUAUUAAUAGGCUCAUUCAAGUGAAAUGAGCAUUAUUUCACACAUCCUUUAGGUUUUUAAGUCAUUUACAAGUCAUUCAUGUUAAAAAAAAAUUCAUAUACUUUUAAUAUAAUUAGAACAUACACAAUUAAUUAAUUAAAUAAAUCUAUUUCAGCUAGUAUAGGAACUUAAUUAAUCAAAGCUAGUAGUUAUAGCUAGGACUUGAACGAGGCACCUUUCAAAGUUCAAGAAGAGCAUCUGAACAUAAUGAAAGCACUUUGUAGAUAUGGUAAUGAUGCUUUACAUCUACAUGCUCUUAUGCUGGCGGGACAAAAAUUGACAAUAAUGGCUACAAUACGAAUUUUAAAAAAAAAUCAAAAUCUAUAAUUACAAGCUAAGUAAGAGAAGAAACUCAUAAUCACAAGCUUACCUCAAAAGAUGAAGGGAGAAUACGAUGAAGAAGAAGAUGCCCGGUGUUUUAUGUCGUUCGCCGGCAACCAGUUAGGUUUACGAUGGUGGCUAGUCCAGCGAAUAGUUUUCUAACUGGAAAUAAAUUUAAAUUUCUAAAAUAGUGCUAUACCGAACGGCUCUGUACCGUCACGUUGUUA